rnacentral:piRNA from 1 species
UGCAAGUGAUGAACUCGUUCACUGGGGCU